CAUGAGUGGCGGACGGGUGAGUAACGCGUGGGCAACCUGGCCUGUACAGGGGGAUAACACUUAGAAAUAGGUGCUAAUACCGCAUAACGGGGGAAGCCGCAUGGCUUUUCCCUGAAAACUCCGGUGGUACAGGAUGGGCCCGCGUCUGAUUAGCCAGUUGGCAGGGUAACGGCCUACCAAAGCGACGAUCAGUAGCCGGCCUGAGAGGGCGGACGGCCACAUUGGGACUGAGACACGGCCCAGACUCCUACGGAAGGCAGCAG
rnacentral:rRNA from 1 species